GAUGAACGCUGGCGGCGUGCCUAAUACAUGCAAGUCGAGCGAACAGACGAGGAGCUUGCUCCUCUGACGUUAGCGGCGGACGGGUGAGUAACACGUGGAUAACCUACCUAUAAGACUGGGAUAACUUCGGGAAACCGGAGCUAAUACCGGAUAAUAUAUUGAACCGCAUGGUUCAAUAGUGAAAGACGGUUUUGCUGUCACUUAUAGAUGGAUCCGCGCCGCAUUAGCUAGUUGGUAAGGUAACGGCUUACCAAGGCAACGAUGCGUAGCCGACCUGAGAGGUGGACGGGCACACUUGAACCGGGACACGGUCCAAGCCCCCAAGGGAAGGCGCCGGAAGGAAACCUUCGGAAUGGGCGGAAGGCCUGCGGGGCAAAGGCGGGGGAGGUAAUGAAGUCUUCCGGUUGGUAAACCCUUGUAAUUGGGAAAGACAAAAUGUGAAGGAACCAAUCACAGCUUGACGGGUACUUAUCAAAAAGGCACGGCUAACUUCGUU
rnacentral:rRNA from 1 species